rnacentral:rRNA from 1 species
GACGAGGGACCCUAGCGUUGUUCGGAAUCAUUGGGCGUAAAGCGGGUGUAGGUGGCUUUGUAAGUCAGGUGUGAAAUCCCAGGGCUCAACCCUGGAAGUGCAUUUGAUACUGCGAAGCUUGAGUGCUGGAGAGGUUACUGGAAUACCUGGUGUAGUGGUGAAAUACGUAGAUAUCAGGUGGAACACCGGAGGCGAAGGCGGGUACU